rnacentral:rRNA from 1 species
UACGUAGGGUGCAAGCGUUGUCCGGAAUUAUUGGGCGUAAAGAGCUCGUAGGCGGUCUGUUGCGUCGGCUGUGAAAACCCGGGGCUCAACCCCGGGCCUGCAGCCGAUACGGGCAGACUAGAGUUCGGCAGGGGAGACUGGAAUUCCUGGUGUAGCGGUGAAAUGCGCAGAUAUCAGGAGGAAUACCGAUGGCGAAGGCAGGUCUCUGGGUCGAUACUGACGCUCAUGCACGAAAGCGUGGGGAGCAAACAGG